GUGCUUGCUUUGGCAGCACAUACACUAAAAUUAGAACGAGACAGAGAUUAGCAUGGUCCCUGUGCAAGGAUGACAUGCAAAUUCAUGAAGCAUUCCAUGGUUUU
rfam:Tupaia chinensis contig165929, whole genome shotgun sequence.